rnacentral:rRNA from 1 species
GCCAGCAGCCAUAUCACUCUGCAACUCACAACUGGUACUCACUUAAACUAAGCAGAUGAGAGCCUGUUCAGAACCUGGAGGGGAGAUCUCCUGGGAAAAACUAAGGUUGCUGCUAGAA